rnacentral:misc_RNA from 1 species
GCUAUCGUAAUCCCUAGCGUGGACAAGCGAUGGAUCUUCCUCAAGAAGCUUCCGAACAGCAGCGGCAUCGUUUUGGUGAGCGUGCCACAGUAUCAUUGAAGUCCUGCUGACUCUGGCUUUCUCCUUUUGCUUGGCCGAAGAAGGUGGUGGAGGUCCACGCUCGCCGGACGCAACAUCGCCAACGGAGGAGGAUGAGGAAUUGCCAGAGCUCAUGGCGAUACAGCGGAUCGGAUCAGAAGAGAAGAUUGUUUUUNNNNNNNNNNGCGUGUACUGCAUGUAAGUUAAGUUUCUUGGAUAUUGGGACUGAGUGAUGGAAACGGAGGAAGACGGAAAUGUCGUGUGUUUGCAUCCGUUAUUCCGGUUUUACUUUUUCAACCGA